rnacentral:rRNA from 1 species
GUUGGGUAGGGGAGCGUUCUGUAAGCCUGUGAAGGUGUGUCGUGAGGCAUGCUGGAGGUAUCAGAAGUGCGAAUGCUGACAUAAGUAACGAUAAAGCGGGUGAAAAGCCCGCUCGCCGGAAGACCAAGGGUUCCUGUCCAACGUUAAUCGGGGCAGGGUGAGUCGACCCCUAAGGCGAGGCCGAAAGGCGUAGUCGAUGGGAAACGGGUUAAUAUUCCCGUACUUGGUGUUACUGCGAAGGGGGGACGGAGAAGGCUAUGUUGGCCGGGCGACGGUUGUCCCGGUUUAAGCGUGUAGGUGUGUGUUCCAGGUAAAUCCGGUUCACUUUAACACUGAGGCGUGAUGACGAGGCACUACGGUGCUGAAGCAACAAAUGCCCUGCUUCCAGGAAAAGCCUCUAAGCAUCAGGUAACAUCAAAUCGUACCCCAAACCGACACAGGUGGUCAGGUAGAGAAUACCAAGGCGCUUGAGAGAACUCGGGUGAAGGAACUAGGCAAAAUGGUGCCGUAACUUCGGGAGAAGGCACGCUGACACGUAGGUGAAGUGAUUUACUCAUGGAGCUGAAGUCAGUCGAAGAUACCAGCUGGCUGCAACUGUUUAUUAAAAACACAGCACUGUGCAAACACGAAAGUGGACGUAUACGGUGUGACGCCUGCCCGGUGCCGGAAGGUUAAUUGAUGGGGUCAGCGCAAGCGAAGCUCCUGAUCGAAGCCCCGGUAAACGGCGGCCGUAACUAUAACGGUCCUAAGGUAGCGAAAUUCCUUGUCGGGUAAGUUCCGACCUGCACGAAUGGCGUAAUGAUGGCCAGGCUGUCUCCACCCGAGACUCAGUGAAAUUGAACUCGCUGUGAAGAUGCAGUGUACCCGCGGCAAGACGGAAAGACCCCGUGAACCUUUACUAUAGCUUGACACUGAACAUUGAGCCUUGAUGUGUAGGAUAGGUGGGAGGCUUUGAAGUGUGGACGCCAGUCUGCAUGGAGCCGACCUUGAAAUACCACCCUUUAAUGUUUGAUGUUCUAACGUGGACCCGUAAUCCGGGUUGCGGACAGUGUCUGGUGGGUAGUUUGACUGGGGCGGUCUCCUCCUAAAGAGUAACGGAGGAGCACGAAGGUUGGCUAAUCCUGGUCGGACAUCAGGAGGUUAGUGCAAUGGCAUAAGCCAGCUUGACUGCGAGCGUGACGGCGCGAGCAGGUGCGAAAGCAGGUCAUAGUGAUCCGGUGGUUCUGAAUGGAAGGGCCAUCGCUCAACGGAUAAAAGGUACUCCGGGGAUAACAGGCUGAUACCGCCCAAGAGUUCAUAUCGACGGCGGUGUUUGGCACCUCGAUGUCGGCUCAUCACAUCCUGGGGCUGAAGUAGGUCCCAAGGGUAUGGCUGUUCGCCAUUUAAAGUGGUACGCGAGCUGGGUUUAGAACGUCGUGAGACAGUUCGGUCCCUAUCUGCCGUGGGCGCUGGAGAACUGAGGGGGGCUGCUCCUAGUACGAGAGGACCGGAGUGGACGCAUCACUGGUGUUCGGGUUGUCAUGCCAAUGGCACUGCCCGGUAGCUAAAUGCGGAAGAGAUAAGUGCUGAAAGCAUCUAAGCACGAAACUUGCCCCGAGAUGAGUUCUCCCUGAGACUU